GCCGCACGCGCGCUACACUGAUGCGUUCAACGAGUAUACAACCUUGAUCGAUAGGUCUGGGUAAUCUUGUAAAUGCGCAUCGUGCUAGGGAUAGACUGUUGCAAAUUUCAGUCUUGAACGAGGAAUUCCUAGUAAACGCAAGUCAUCAGCUUGCAUUGAUUACGUCCCUGCCCUUUGUACACACCGCCCGUCGCACCUACCGAUUGAAUGACUCGGUGAAAAAUUGGGACUGUGAAUUUCGGUUACUUUAUUGCGACUGGAUUCAUGGGAACUUUUUUAAACCUCGCCAUUUAGAGGAAGGUGAAGUCGUAACAAGGUUUCCGUAGGUGAACCUGCGGAAGGAUCAUUACCACACCUAAACAACUUUCCACGUGAACCGUAUCAACCCUAUGUCUUGGGGGUUUGUUUCAUGACCGCUGUUGGCAUGUUUUGCUUGAUGGCUACUAUGGAACGAGCCCUAUCGUGCGUGUUUGGACCUUGGUCUAAACAAGUAGCAUUAAUAUUAUAAACCCUUUCUUAAAUACUGAAUAUACUGUGGGGACGAAAGUCUCUGCUUUUAACUAGAUAACAACUUUCAGCAGUGGAUGUCUAGGCUCGCACAUCGAUGAAGAACGCUGCGAACUGCGAUACGUAAUGCGAAUUGCAGGAUUCAGUGAGUCAUCGAAAUUUUGAACGCAUAUUGCACUUCCGGGUUAGUCCUGGAAGUAUGCCUGUAUCAGUGUCCGUACAACAAACUUGGUUUUCUUCUUUCCGUGUAGUCGGUGGAGGAUAUGCCAGAUGUGAAGUGUCUUGCGAAUGGUUUUCGGACCGAUUGCGAGUCCUUUGAAAUGUACAGACUGUACUUCUCUUUGCUCCAAAAGCGUAGCGUUGCUAAUGGUAAAGGGCUGUCUUUGUGAUCAGUCGGCGACCGGGUUUUGUUGUGGCGUUAAUGAAGGAGUGUUUGAUUCGCGGUAUGAUUGGCUUCGGCUGAACAGGCGCUUAUUGGACAUUUUUUCUGCUGUGGCAGUAUGACCUGGUGAACCGUAAUCCAUUGACUUGGCCUAUUAAGUUGGCUUUGCUAUUGCGAAGUAGAGUGACAGUUUACUGUCGAGAGGUCGACCGAUUUGGG
rnacentral:rRNA from 1 species